GCUGAAAUUCGCCUUCAUGAAGCUGGAAUUGCUAGUAAUGGCAGGUCAGCAUACUGCCGUGAAUACGUUCCCGGGCCUUGUACACACCGCCCGUCACACCAUGAGAGUUGGAAAUACCCGAAGCCUGUGAGCUAACUUAAAGAGGCAGCAGUCGAAGGUAGAGCCAAUGAUUGGGGUGAAGUCGUAACAAGGUAAC
rnacentral:rRNA from 1 species